UACAGAGGGGGCAAGCGUUGUUCGGAAUUACUGGGCGUAAAGGGCGCGUAGGCGGCCGCCUAAGUCAGACGUGAAAUCCCUCGGCUCAACCGGGGAACUGCGUCUGAUACUGGAUGGCUUGAGUUUGGGAGAGGGACGCGGAAUUCCAGGUGUAGCGGUGAAAUGCGUAGAUAUCUGGAGGAACACCGGUGGCGAAGGCGGCGUCCUGGACCAACACUGACACUGAUGAGCGAAAGCCAGGGGAGCAAACGGG
rnacentral:rRNA from 1 species